CUUACAAAGGGGUUCAUAGCUUCAUUCAAAUGGUCUUAGAGAUGUGUAUUAAAAAACAACUGUGCACAGUGUUUUGGAAAUGAUGGCAAGGUUUUCCUGGUGAGGGAGAUGGGUAAAACUGGACCCCUCUGGAUGAAAGAUGAGAAAUUAAGUAGGAGUGGAGUUGAAACUCUUUAAUCUUUACAUGACUUGCAAUAUCCCUUUCUCUUUAUUUUAACCAAAUAUGCUUUUAAUGAAAGAAUGUUAACUCUUCUCCCUUUCUUCCUUUUUAGCUUGGUUUUACUCUUGGCAAUGUGGUUGGGAUGUAUAUUGCUCAGAACUAUGAUAUUCCUAACAUUGCGAAGAAGCUUGAAGAUUUUAAGAAGGAUGUGGAGGCUAAGAAGAAACCUCCCAGUGACAAGUCCUGAAAGAGCAGUGUUCCCCAGGUCACCUCUGUGUGUGCAUCAAGGAUGCAAUUUAUCUUUCAGGCAACAAGGGUCAAGUAGAGGGUUGGCAUGGGAGGUUCCUCCACUCUUAGUCUCCUAGAACUGGAAUGUCCUUCUUUUGAGAGAGCAACCGUGAACUUUACCUGGGACUGAUUUUCAAGGGUUUCAGAAUUUCAAUUUGCAGCUGAUGUGUGACUGGAUAAGUUUGUAUUUUUCAUUAUUUCUUUUCCUAAUAUUUUGUAACCCAUUUUUACCUGAUCCAACUGGAGUUGUUAGCCCUGUUACUAUGUGUACCUCACACUUUGUAGUGCCCUAGUCCUUAGAACUUCACAAAAGAAAUUAAAUGCAUCAAGAAGGAACUUUCAGGUUUCUUGUCGUUUGUUGUGAGCAGCGGUACUUCACUGUCUUUAAGAUCCAAUUCCAUUGUUGGAGAUGCCAAACUUCAUUUGUCAAGGUAUGAAUCUGUGGAAGGGGGG
rnacentral:lncRNA from 1 species